CCUGGUGCUUGCCAGCCCAAGCAGAGAACGUCACUCCCUGUUUUAAUGUCUCCGUGGGUUUCUAUAACACAACUGCAGAAGUUUCUGGAACCAAAGUCUGUUGCCAGGGAUGGAACCUGCAUGGGACCAGACUAGACCCUCUGCAUACAGGAGACAGUUGUUUAGCUGGGUCUGUUUGAGGGGCCCCUGGCAGUGGGAUCAGGAUCUGUCCCUGGUUCAUGAGCUGACUUUCUGGAGCCCAUUACCUAUGAUAUCCUGUGUUUCCAAGGAGACCCUCCAAGAAACUUCCAAGAGACACGUAAGUCAAGUGGAUCUUGUUUAAUUUUCUGCUUAUUCCUGUCAGUGACCCAGUGGGGUAGGAUCCAAAUACCACAUUUUAUAACUCAAGAACCCAAAGAGGGUUUACUCACCAGUCCUAUGUUCUUCCUUUGUAAAUGGUGGUGUCAGGAUUUGAAGACAUUUAUAUAUAUAGACCAUAACCUUCUUACCCUACUUUCUUUAGAUAACUGGAAACCUUGGAUUAGAACAUUCCCACAGAAUAAGAAAACAUUCUAGAUCAGGAAUCUCCUAACAGCUAAAUAAUACCAGAAACUGGAAGGGAGGGUAUUUGGGACUGUGAACUUAGAGGAUGCACCUUGGAUCUUGAGUUCUGGGGAGUCAUCUGCUUCAUCUGCAGGAAAGUGCAGCUUUGUAAGGAUGACAUCGGCACCUCUAGUUCCCCCAGGUCUUAGGAGGAACGGCAUUCCUAAGAAUGACUGUGUUUACAUUGGAUAAAACCAGAAGAGUCAACAUGGUUGUUUCUGCAUCAGAGUACUUUUUACAGAUGUUCUCUUUGCCUUUACAGUUUCACAGGCAUCCUGACCGUGAGGUAGUUGUCUGCCACGUGAAAAGACUCAGCAAGGGUGGAAAGAUGAAACUGUUAGACCCGAACAAUAAUAUACACACAGGAUUCUAGGCUGGGGUAAAUGCUCGGGUUUGUUAGCUGAACAGCUGCUGAUUAUCCCUCUGGGAUCUGUCUAGCUUUGGAGAAGCCAUUUCCCCUUUCUUCUUCAGGCAACAGAACUUGCUGGAGCCUGGAAUACAAUUUAAGAGCACAGUCAGAUGGGAUUUGCACUUCGUCCACCCCAGCAAAGUCACUCCUUGGCCAUUAUUUUUCACUCUAUUGUAAAUAGCAAGAGGCAGAUGAAAAGGUAAAAAAAAAAAUAUGUUGGUUGGAAGAUACUUACCCUUGCCUACCUAGGGUAAUCAAGGGGAGACAUCAGCUCUGGAUUUGGUAAGUAAUAACUCACAUUUGACUUUAAUAUACCAUGAUAAACUUUGAGGAAUAUAUCUUUUAAAACAUAAAAUGCUUUACCUCUGAUUUAAAGUUUGGGGGAUUGGUCCUGCACCGUAGGCAGGUUAGAUUUAGCAUCUCUGGAAAUUCCAGAGUAAUUUUAAAAUCCUCUUUUUGAUCACUAGCUGCAGCUCCAGCUUUCAAAGAGAAUGAGAUGUUUUGGGAAUGAAUUGUGAUGGACUUAUAUGAAAAUUUAUAUGACCAAGAAUUGGAUUUGUUCCCCUGGAAUAUUAUAGAUUAUGUUUUAUGUUGGAAUUACAUCAGUGCUCAGAGCAGCAGAAGGCUGGCUUAAUGUAGCUAAAAAUAUACCUUGGCUUUCCACUUGGAAUAGAGCCCCCCACCCUCCCCAAUCCGUUUCUCCCCUAAUGAAAAUAAUGCCUUCAUGACUCAUAUAUGUGAUAGACAGUAGGGAAUAUUUGAGUCUUAAAAUGAGAACUUUGAGAAAGGACUAAUGGUCCUUUUCUUAUUUCUUUCCCAUCCAUCUCUUCCCUCCUGUUUGCCCUGUCAGCUUCCUACUUCAGGCUUUCGGCACCCAGUGCCUUACCGUAAUGGCUCCUUUCUCUGUCUCCAGUCCCCCUUGUUUUGAUGUGUCCUGCACACCUCUGCGUAGCCAGUCUUCCUUCUCUCAUAUUUUACUCUCUCCCUGCCAUUCAUUAGUGGUCUGCCAUUGGCUCCCCAAUAAACUGUAAAUGUAGCAUCUGACCGCCAUCUACAACAUGUUACCUAGAACUGGGCAGUAGGUUUCUUUAAAGGAUCACGUAAUUGGCCUUGCUCUUGCUCUCUCUGUCUCUGUCUCUGUCUGUCUGUCUGUCUCUCUUGCUCUGUGUAUGUGUGAGUGCACAUGCAUGUGUGUGCAUAAAUUUGUAGUAGUGUAUGCGCAUGCAUGUUUGUGCAUUUGCAUUCCUAUGUGUGGGUGCUUGUGGAGGCCAGAGGCCCACCUCGGAUGUCUUUCCUAAGAUGCUGUCCACCUUUUUUUAUUGACAGGCUCGCUCACUGAUCUGGAACUCUCCAAUUCACCUAGGCUGCCAGGCCGGUGGACCCCAGGGAGCCACCUUUCUGCGCCUCCCCAGUUCUGAGAUUUCAAGAAUUCUCUACCAUGUCUUCUUUUGUUUGUUUGUUUUUCUCUUUUGUGUGCAACUUGGGGAUUGAACUAGAAUUCUCAAAGCAAUAAUAGAUGGAUAUGUAUUGUUGUUUAAACGAAAGUUAUCAAAGAAAUGAGUUAAGUGAUAACUUUGCAGGGUAUGUGGAUCUGUUGAGGGCUUUUAGAACAUUGGAAUCCAAUUUCCAUUUCCUCUUCCAGUGGGCAGUUCCACAAACUCACCUUAUGAGUCAGGGGUGGUUCUCACGCCUACAUGAGAAACCAUAGGACCAUGACAAAACCAUCAAGGUAACCCUGGCAUUGUCCAGGCUUCUCACCCUCUUAACAGUUGCAGGAACUGUUGCCUUACAUUGCAAAGCUAUGCAGUCUUUUGAAACAUUAAAGUGCAUUUCUAAAGAGCCUCAGCGACAAACGAUGAGUAGCUUAGCUACUGAAUCUUGUUCAAUAUCCUUAUUUUAUUUUUUUAAAAAAAUUUACGGGAACUUGCUAUUAAGUGAGGAUCCACUGGCAGAAAGUGCUGAAAGAAGAAACAAGGGGGAUAUAGGGAGGGCUGAACCUAAUGAAAGCUUUGUAUCCACAAAAUAAGUUGUGGCUUUGUAAAUUCACUCUAAGUACAUUUGAGGAACAAUAAGCCAUAAAAGAGGUUGCCAUGACCUUGGAUUCUGCACAGCUUUGGAGAUAAAAGGUCUAAGCAUCAGAAAGCAUUUGGUUGACCAUAGUGUUGUUGACUGAUUAAAAUCCAUUCAUGAUCCUAGAACCCUCCAGUGGAAUGCUGAUGAGGGUUGGCCUGGAUGCAGUGUGCACAAUGGAGUCUCCUGAAGCAGAGUUCAAAGUUGUUUCGCGAAAAUGGAACACUAAAAGGUAUCCUGUAUUUAUGAUUUGCUUCUUCCACCUGGAUGAGAUGUCUGAAAUUCAAAAUUAUACAUCAAUUAGGCAUAUUUCCACGAUUACUUUCCAAGGAGUCUGCUAUCGAAGGUGAUGUGUGGCCCUGGCUUCCUUUUCCACAUGAUGCUUUUGCAAGUCGAAGAUUAUGGACGUGGGGGCAGCCUUUGAAGACUUUGCAGUAAAAGCAGCUGUUUUCUACACUGUUACUUUGGGUUGUCUUCCCCAGCGCCUCAGCCCCAGAGACGUAAGAUGACAAGUUUAUCAAGGGCCCUGACGAGAUGACAUUUUAAGUCCUUUCAAUCAGCCUUAGUGAAUCUUGUUGAAAAUGUGAGGGAAAAAAUGCAGAAGUGUAUUAUUUCCCAGAAAUAAUAGCAGUGACUGUUCAAGGUGAAAGGGAUUAAGAGUUGAGAGAGAGUGGAGUGGAGAAGGUUGCAAUGGUCCCUUCCUGGGCUCUCCCAACAAUUGCCAACUUCCAGUUUGGGGCCUCUGUCCGUUUGGAGUUGCUGUUUUCUGUGGCUUCUUUUCUUUUUCCACCUAACUGCCAUAGGCAAUUCCCUCGCAUUUCUGCUCACGGCCACACGUUGCCCUGCAGGCAGACCUUGGCUACAUGAUGUACUUUUAUAGCCAGGUUCUGAGCCGGUAACAAGGAGCAAUGCAGACCUAAGAGGCAUUUGAAUCUUCUUCCGACAUGAAAACAGUUUGCAAUUAUGAGUCCCCAUUUCAUUUUUAUGCACUUACCUUCAGUUUAAUGUUUAAAAGAAGUGUCUCAGGAAAUAAAGAUGAUGUUACCCAAGGAAAAAAAAAACACAGUGAGCAGCUUUUAUAGAUCCAUGUACUGGGUGGCUAAUGAGUUUAGGGCUCUGAAAAAAAUGAAUCAAGUCAAUCAGGCUAUAAACUCAAGCAUGAGCAGUGUAUCAUAUACAGUUGGGUUUCUCACUAUUAGUGUUAGUCAAUCAGGCUAUAAACUCAAGCAUGAGCAGUGUAUCAUAUACAGUUGGGUUUCUCACUAUUAGUGUUUAAAAUAAAUGUUAAACGAUCAAGCUCUCCCGAAAACAUCUUCUACUAUGUUAAAGCUGUAUCAGCUUACUCAUCCCAAGUACUUGAUUGUGGGUUAAGGUUUCUCAGGUACACUAUCACAUGUCCAGCUCACAGAAGUCUGGUAGAGGGCUGUCACUGCCUGUGGGUGAGGAGGCAGGUGAGGGUACUAGCAGGUCCUCCCAGGUACACAGCUAGUGAAAGGCGGAGCUGCAGCGUGCACCUUGUGUGCCUCUAGUUCCCAUUGUCACCCAAACUAUAGUCCCCAGAUAUGCUGAUCAGAAGUUGGACUGUCUUGCGGAAUGACUCUUUUCAUCCCUGCCAGCUCUUCAAGGCAGCUGAUCUUGCUGGUGUGUGGUUAGGACACACCUUAGAUGUCUGUUUAAGGCGAGCUGGAUAACUAAUGAUUGGCUUUUGCAAACUCAAGCCUAGUCUGGGAAGCUGCCCUGAACCUGCUGUCCAAUCCCAAUGGAAACUCUGAAAAGUUGGGUUGAAAUCCUCAUCGUAGUUCUUUCUGAGUUUCUGGUGCUAUGAUUAUCAUGGAUGUUUCCUCUUCCCUUUCUGUGGUGAUUCCUGAGGGAUGCAUGUGCACACUCUUUUCAUAGGGAGGGUCCCAGCAUAGUGUCUGGCAGCAAGUAUGUGUCACCUGCUUUUCAGCUGAUUGAACAGCUGAGGAACAAAAGCAAAAUGGGUCUCUCAACUUUCAGGUGACAAUAGACUCAUCCCUGAAGGAGGUGUUUUGAAUUCAACCCUCUUGUCUUUGUCUUCCACUCAGUAUCCAAGCUGAUCUUUGUUGGUGUUCAUAUAGUUCUUUUGGGCCAAAAUACAUUCUGAUUUUUACUUUUAACUCAAAGCAAAAUUUGUAUUGGUAUGUAAAAAUGUAAGGAAUAUAGGAAGACACAAAGACGAUAAAAUGCUCUCUGAUGCUUACCAUUUUUUAUCUGUUGCUGCUCUUUG